CGGCUCCUUACUGGGAAGUGGAACCAGAACUUGGUGCAGGAUGGGUGUCCAGUGACCGCUGUGUGGCCGCUGAGUUCAUGUCUCCCUCCCAGGAACAGUCCCCGGCUCCUGCUCCGAUGGCCAUCCAGCUGCAGAGUGAGCAUUCCACUUCGUGUACCGGGAUCUCCGCCGGGGAGAAGGUGAUCUGAGUGAGGAUGUCCACCACGGGCCGGGAGCUGCGGAGUGGGAAGCAACGCUCUCCCUGGGCCUCGGCUGUACUCCCAGUCCGACCUGGGGCUCCUUCUACAAGCUUCCAGAGGACUCUAAUCCCCGAAAGCAGACCUCAACAGCCCUGUCUCCUCGAAACAGUAAUAAUAAUGAGGAGUGCAAAGGAGCGACACCAACAGAACCAUCCGAGACUCCACCGCGCAGGAGAGGAAGGUUGAGAGAGGCUGAGCCCCUUCCCCUCGGUCUGCCGUCAGGUCUAGGAAGCCCCCAGCCCAGUCCUUGGCUCCAACCGCCCCCACGACGCCAUGGCCCUGCCCAGGGAGGAGACGAGCAGGCUUAGCCUGGUGCCCACAGCAUCCUUCAGCCCGCCCACCCCUGCUUCGGGCCCGCCGCUCACGUGGCCGAGGUCAGCGCUGAUCCCGCUGGAGGACAGCUCCAUGUUGAAGGAUGUCAGGUCCUGUUUGCUGGUGCCUAGGGACGAGGUGAAGAGAAAGGGUGGACACUCGAGGAAGGACCGAGAAAGCAGCGCGGCCCCGGCCUUUGGGCAAGGUAGAAGCCGCCUGCACGACCGUCGGACUGGGCAGCGACGUGGGCUGAGCUCAGCGUGAAUCCGGGCAAACGAGAAGCUCUGAGCUCCUGCUCCCACUCGGGCUUCCCCACCACGUCACCAGGUCGGGAUGGUUCUACGUUCACAAAGCGUCUGCGGCCUUCUCUGAGGAGCGUGCCGGCCCCACGCAGGGCCCAGCCACCCUCGCCUUUGGCCUGACAACUGUCGCCCCUUACCCAGUCAGUCCCUGACUUGGUUCUUCCUCUUGUCCUGUCUUUCUUCUGCAGAGCAAGCCGGAGUGAUCUUUUGCAAAAAUGUCUAUCAGACCACAUGUUUCCGUUUCUCAAAAACCCCUUUAUCUGUGGCCAUCGCCGUUGGGAUCAAGCCCAGCUGCUUACAAGGAACUGGAAGGCCUGGCCUCUCUCGACCACGCUGUCUCCCCGGCUCGUCGGCUCCUGCUCCUCCGGCCCGCCUGCCCUCCCCACCUCUGGGCCCCACGCUGGCUCUUCUCCGACUCCAACGCCCUUUGCCCGCAUUCCUCACGUGGCUGUUCGAGUCUCAUCUUCCGUGUCUCGGUUCGAAUGUCAUCUCAGAGGCAAUUCUACCUCCUUUGAAAAAUAAAGCAUCUAGAAAGGCCUUUUGAAAAGCC